ACGAACGCUGGCGGCGUGCUUAACCCCUGCAAGUCGAACGGAAAGACCCUGCUUUUGUGGGGUGCUCGAGCGGCGAACGGGUGAGUAACACGUGAGUAACCUGCCCUUGACUUUGGGAUAACUUCAGGAAACUGGGGCUAAUACCGGAUAGGAGCUCCUGCUGCAUGGUGGGGGUUGGAAAGUUUCGGCGGUUGGGGAUGGACUCGCGGCUUAUCAGCUUGUUGGUGGGGUAGUGGCUUACCAAGGCUUUGACGGGUAGCCGGCCUGAGAGGGUGACCGGCCACAUUGGGACUGAGAUACGGCCCAGACUCCUACGGGAGGCAGCAGUGGGGAAUAUUGCACAAUGGGCGGAAGCCUGAUGCAGCAACGCCGCGUGCGGGAUGACGGCCUUCGGGUUGUAAACCGCUUUCGCCUGUGACGAAGCGUGAGUGACGGUAAUGGGUAAAGAAGCACCGGCUAACUACGUG
rnacentral:rRNA from 1 species